rnacentral:rRNA from 1 species
CAAUAGCGUAUAUUAAAGUUGUUGCAGUUAAAAAGCUCGUAGUUGGAUUUCUGGUGGGAGCGACCGGUCGGCGCUUAACGGCGUGUGCACUGGAGUUGUCUCUUGCCAUCCUUGAGGAGAACGUGUCUGGCAUUAAGUUGUCGGGCUUGGGAUCCUCAUCGUUUACUGUGAAAAAAUUAGAGUGUUUAAAGCAGGCAUUUGCUGUGAAUACAUUAGCAUGGAAUAAUAAGAUAGGACUUUGGUGCUAUUUUGUUGGUUUGCGUACCAAGGUAAUGAUUAAUAGGGAUAGUUGGGGGUAUUCGUAUUCAAUUGUCAGAGGUGAAAUUCUUGGAUUUAUGGAAGACGAACAACUGCGAAAGCAUUUACCAAGGAUGUUUNCAUUA